rnacentral:rRNA from 1 species
UACAGAGGCCUCGAGCGUUAGGCGGAAUCACUGGGCUUAAAGCGUGUGUAGGCGGACUUCUAAGUACCUUGUGAAAUCCCACGGCUUACCCGUGGAACGGCUGGGUAUACUGGUUGUCUUGAGCCACUUAGGGGCUACCGGAACAAAUGGUGGAGCGGUGAAAUGCGUAGAUAUCAUUUGGAACGCCAAUGGUGAAAAACAGGUAGCUGGGAGUGUGCUGACGCUGAGACACGAAAGCCAGGGGAGCGAACGGGG